rnacentral:lncRNA from 1 species
GCAUUCUGCAGUUAAUUUCAGAGCAGUGGAUAUCUACUCUGGACACCCUCUGGAUUUCCAAGAUAUUCUGUGUACCAUAUUUACAAGCUAUCACAUUAGCUCGGACUGACCUGGAAGAAGACCCUGAGGAGAACCCGGGCACACAGCAGCCAUUCCAGUCCUCAGCUUCAAGGGGGCUCACGAAGGUUGUGGAUCCUUGCCCAGCCUGCAGUGGGGACCUGGUGUGGCAUUGAGUGGCUGUGAGUGCUCAGUGUCCCCCAUCUCAUGCUAAGCACAGCGAAGUAGGGGGAGAUUGCGUAGUGUGCUGAUGGAGCAGUUGCCUCCACCUGGCUGCGUGUCCCUCCGUCAUGUGACAGAAAAGAAGAAGGCAAUGGUGUUUUUCUGUAGCAAGUCACUAUUUAUGGAAGAGGAGACCCUUUAUCUGCAUCGCAAUUCUGAAGAUUCCACUUUGUUCCAGUCAUUGUUGUGGGCACACUUUCAACAUUUGAUUAAGAGCCAUAAGGGUGGCUUCCUCCACCCACAGAAAAAUUCCUCUAAGGAAUCAUGAGACCGUCGACAUUUAGCAGCUGUUUAAAAGACUGUUUAGACUCCUGGGAUGAUGAUGGGGAAUUCCUGGAAUUAUGGUCUUGGGCAAGAAGGGAACUCAAGUAGGAAAGUCAGCAAUCUAAAUUUCAAACCUCAGGGAACCUUCUUUGUAUAACCUGAUAAUCUCCUUCGCUCAACACAGUGCUUGCUGAGUGAAGGAGUGUAAUGGAAAAGAAAGUUAAUAAUCCCUUGUGCUCUGGAUCAAAAAUGAGGUAGGAGACCAAAUUUUCCAUCAAACUGGUUGGGUCCAAUCACUUAAUGCAAAAUGCUUACUUCAGGGUCUGUAGCACUUGUUGAUCAAUGUACCUAACAGGUCUUAAUAGAGAAAGUGAUCAAUUCAAGCAGUGUCUUCCCAAAUUCUAUAUAUAUAUAACAGAUAUUGCUGCAUAACAAACCAGACAACGCUUAAUAGUUUAAGGCAACCGUUUUAUUAUUCCCCAGAGUUCUAUGCGUGGACCAAGGUCACUUGGGCCCUAGUCUUGUGAUGUCACUUGGACCACAGUCAUUGGGAGGUUCACCAGGUGGAAGCCUCCAUGACAGCUCAAUCCCAUAGCUGCCAGUGGGUACGGCACCUACACGUGGCUGCUUGUAUGGCCUGGGAUUUUCACAGCACAGCAGCAGGGGCUGAGAGGCAGAGUCCUAGGAGUGAUUGUCCCCAGAGAGCAGAAGCAAAAGCUCUCAUCAGUCUUCUAAGAGGCUGAGCUGACAAUGGGCACAGCACCACUCUGCCAUCAUCUAUGGCUUAAGCAUUCACAGGGCCAGGCUAAAUUCAGGCUGUCGGAAGAUAAACUCCACCUCUCAAUGGAGAGAGUUCAAAGCAACUGUGGCCAUCUUUACCCCAUCAGCUUUCUUGCCAAGAAAUAAAGCUCUACAUGACACAU